rnacentral:rRNA from 1 species
UACGUAGGGGGCUAGCGCUGUCCGGAUUUAUUGGGCGUAAAGAGCGUGUAGGCGGCCGAGUAAGUCCGGUGUGAAAACUCGAGGCUUAACCUCGAGAUGUCAUCGGAAACUAUUCGGCUAGAGUCCGGAAGAGGAGAGUGGAAUUCCUGGUGUAGCGGUGAAAUGCGCAGAUAUCAGGAAGAACACCCGUGGCUAAGGCGGCUCUCUAGUACGGUACUGACGCUGAGACGCGAAAGCGUGGGGAGCGAACAGG